ACGAAAAAUAACGAUACGGGACUCAUCCGAGGCCCCGUAAUCGGAAUGAGUACACUCUAAAUCCUUUAACGAGGAUCAAUUGGAGGGCAAGUCUGGUGCCAGCAGCCGCGGUAAUUCCAGCUCCAAUAGCGUAUAUUAAAGUUGUUGCGGUUAAAAAGCUCGUAGUCGAAUUUGUGUCCCGCGCCGCCGGUUCAUCGCUCGCGGUGUCAACUGGCGUGUCCGCGGGACGUCCUGCCGGUGGGCUUAGCUCCUCGCGGGCGGCCCAAUCUCAAUCCCACCGCGGUGCUCUUCAUUGAGUGUCGAGGUGGGCCGGCACGUUUACUUUGAACAAAUUAGAGUGCUUAAAGCAGGCUAAAAUAUCGCCUGAAUACUGUGUGCAUGGAAUAAUGGAAUAGGACCUCGGUUCUAUUUUGUUGGUUUUCGGAACCCCGAGGUAAUGAUUAAUAGGAACGGAUGGGGGCAUUCGUAUUGCGACGUUAGAGGUGAAAUUCUUGGAUCGUCGCAAGACGGACAGAAGCGAAAGCAUUUGCCAAAAACGCUUUCAUUGAUCAAGAACGAAAGUUAGAGGUUCGAAGGCGAUCAGAUACCGCCCUAGUUCUAACCAUAAACGAUGCCAGCUAGCGAUCCGCCGACGUUCCUCCGAUGACUCGGCGGGCAGCUUCCGGGAAACCAAAGCUUUUGGGUUCCGGGGGAAGUAUGGUUGCAAAGCUGAAACUUAAAGGAAUUGACGGAAGGGCACCACCAGGAGUGGAGCCUGCGGCUUAAUUUGACUCAACACGGGAAACCUCACCAGGCCCGGACACCGGAAGGAUUGACAGAUUGAGAGC
rnacentral:rRNA from 1 species